rnacentral:tRNA from 1 species
UGUGGCUCAGUGGCAGAGCACUUGCCUAGCAUGCACAAAACUCUGGGUUUGAUCCCCAGCA